AUUGAACGCUGGCGGCAGGCCUAACACAUGCAAGUCGAGCGGAUGAGAAGAGCUUGCUCUUCGAUUCAGCGGCGGACGGGUGAGUAAUGCCUAGGAAUCUGCCUGGUAGUGGGGGACAACGUUUCGAAAGGGACGCUAAUACCGCAUACGUCCUACGGGAGAAAGCAGGGGACCUUCGGGCCUUGCGCUAUCAGAUGAGCCUAGGUCGGAUUAGCUUGUUGGUGAGGUAAUGGCUAACCAAGGCGACGAUCCGUAACUGGUCUGAGAGGAUGGUCAGGUCACCUGGAACCGAGACACGGUCCAGACUCCGACGGGAGGCAGCAGUGGGGAAUAUUGGACAAUGGGCGAAAGCCUGAUCCAGCCAGGCCGCGUGUGUGAAGAAGGUCUUCGGAUUGUAAAGCACUUUAAGUUGGGAGGAAGGGCAGCUAGCGAAUACCUGGUUGUCUUGACGUUACCGACAGAAUAAGCACCGGCUAACGCUGUGCCAGCCGCCGCCGUAA
rnacentral:rRNA from 1 species